GACAGAGGGUGCAAACGUUGCUCGGAAUUACUGGGCGUAAAGCGCGCGUAGGCGGCUCGGAAAGUCGGUCGUGAAAUGCCGGGGCUCAACCCCGGGACUGCGUCCGAUACUCCCGAGCUGGAGGCAGGUAGGGGAGAUCGGAAUUCCUGGUGUAGCGGUGAAAUGCGCAGAUAUCAGGAGGAACACCGGUGGCGAAGGCGGUUCUCUGGGCAUUACCUGACGCUGAGGAGCGAAAGCAUGGGGAGCGAACAGG
rnacentral:rRNA from 1 species